UAUCUCUGUCUCUCUCUCUCUCUCUCUCUCUCUCCUUCUAUCUCUGCCUCUCCGCUGCUCUUCUCUCCUCUCUCUCUCACUUCCGCUCCACCAGUCGUGCCUCCGCCGUUCCUUCUCGCAGUCGCCAACAACUGGAGCACUGAUUCACCUAGAUUUGCCCUAUUUUCUUGGACAUCACAACCAUUCUCAGUUCAAAACUCCAAACCCUAAACUAUAGUUUCAAAUUCGAUUCUUUCCAAUUCUCUCUCUUUAUAUAUAUAGGUAGGUGUGUGUAUAUAUAUAUUAUAUAUUGUGGUGGGUAGAGUAUAUAAUUAAGGGAUUUUUUCUGAACCCACCAACACCGUCCAACGCCCUACAAUGGCAUUGGAGAACGAAGACAAACCCACCUCCUCCUCUCCUGCUACUACUGUGCCACCGCUUUCACUUCCACCUGCGCCUCACGACUUUAUGCAGAAAUUCAGGCUCUACGAGACUCAAUCGGUUGCGUGGGAUAUAUACAGGUUUUGGACAAAUUAAUUAAAAUAAA